AAGCCAGGACAGAACAGCUGCAGGGACAGUGACGGCGGAAGCACUAGCGGAGAAUCCAAGGGUUUCCACCGGAGCAGCUCUCGGGAGAGGCUCAGCGAUAGUUCAGCUCCUUCCAGCUUGGGAACAGGCUACUUCG